UGGGGAAUCUUGGACAAUGGGGGCAACCCUGAUCCAGCCAUGCCGCGUGAGUGAUGAAGGCCUUAGGGUCGUAAAGCUCUUUCGCCUGUGAAGAUAAUGACGGUAGCAGGUAAAGAAACCCCGGCUAACUCCGUGCCAGCAGCCGCGGUAAUACGGAGGGGACUAGCGUUGUUCGGAAUUACUGGGCGUAAAGAGUUCGUAGGCGGACUAGCAAGUUAGAGGUGAAAUCCCAGGGCUCAACCUUGGAACUGCCUUUAAAACUGCUAGUCUAGAGACCGGAAGAGGUUAGGGGAAUACCUAGUGUAGAGGUGAAAUUCGUAGAUAUUAGGUGGAACACCAGUGGCGAAGGCGCCUAACUGGUCCGGUACUGACGCUGAGGAACGAAAGCGUGGGGAGCAAACAGGAUUAGAUACCCUGGUAGUCCACGCCGUAAACGAUGAGUGCUAGAUGUUGGGAUUUUCGGAUUUCAGUGUCGCAGCUAACGCAUUAAGCACUCCGCCUGGGGAGUACGGCCGC
rnacentral:rRNA from 1 species